UUUUUUUUUAGUUUUUUUUUAGUUUUUUUUAGAAAUACUAAUGUUCUUCUGUUUAUUAGUUUUCUUUAGUUUUUUUUUUUGCCUGUUUUAAGUUUUUUUGUUUGUUUUUUUAGUGUUUUUGUUAUUUAUAUAUAUUUAGGGUGUUCUUUUCUUAAAUACCUUUCCUUCUGUUUUUUUUGUUGUUGUUUAUACUAUCCUUUCUCUUUUUUAGUUUUCUUUCUGCCUGUUUUAAGUUUUAUUUUCAGUUUUUUGUUUUUCUAUAUAUUAGGGUGUUUUUUUCUAAAAUACUUUUCCUUCUGUUUUUUUUUAUUUUGUUUAUACUAUCCUUUCUCUUUUUUUAGUUUUCUUUAGUUUUUUUUCUGCCUGUUUUAAGUUUGUUUUUUUAGUUUUUUUUUUAGUUUUUUUGUUAUAUAUAUAUAUAUAGGUUGUUCUUUUCUGAAAUACUUUUCCUCCUUUUUUUAUUUUGUUUAUACUAUCCUUUCUCUUUUUUAGUUUUCUUUCUGCCUGUUUUAAGUUUUUUUUUGUCUUUUUUGUUAUAUAUAUAUAUAAAAAGUGUUUUUUUUUCAGAUAUACUUUUCUUUCUGUUUUUUUAUUUUGUUUAUAUUAUCCUUUCUCCUUUUUAGUUUUCUGUAGUUUUUUUCUGCCUGUUCUAAGUUUUUUUUUAGUUUUCUUUAGUUUUUUUUUGCCUGUUUUAAGUUUUUUUUGUUUGUUUUUUUAGUUUUUUGUUAUUGAUAUAUAUAUAUAUAUAUAUAGGUUGUUCUUUUCUGAAAUAAUUUUCCUUCUGUUUUUUUAUUUUGUUUAUACUAUCCUUUCUCUUUUUUAGUUUUCUUUAGUUUUCUUUCUGCCUGUUUUAAGUUUUUUUUUUGUCUUUUUUGUUAUAUAUAUAUUUAAAGUGUUUUUUUUUCAGAUAUACUAUUCUUUCUCUUUUUUUAAGUUUUCUUUAGUUUUUUUCUUCCUAUUUUAAGUUUUUUUUUAGUUUUUUUUUUAGUUUUUUUUGUUAGAUAUAUAUAUAUAUAGAUUUAGGGUGUUUUUGUCAGAUAUACUUUUCUUUCUUUUUUUUUGUUUAUACUAUUCUCUCUUUUUUAAGUUUUCUUUAGUUUUUUUCUGCCUGAUUAAAGUUUUUUUUUAAGUUUUUUUUAAAUAGUAUUCUUUUCUUUAUUUUUUAAAUUUUCUUUAGUUUUUCUUCUGUCUGUUUUAAGUUUUUUUUAGUUUUUUUGUUAUAUAUAUUUCAAGUGUUUUUUUUCAAAUAAACUUUUCUUGCCGUUUUUUUUAUUUUGUGUAUACUAUUCUUUCUCUUUUUUAUUUUACUUUUUUCUGCCUGUAUUAAGGUUUUUUUUUAGUUUUUUUUAGUUAUUUUGGUAUUUAUAUAUAUAGGUUGUUCUUUUGUGAAAUACUUUUCCUUCUUUUUUUAUUAUGUUUAUACUAUCCUUUCUCUUUUUCUAGUUUUCUUUAGUUUUUUUUCAGCCUGUUUUAAUCUUUUUUUAGUUUUCUUUAGUUUUUUUUCUGCCUGUUUAAAUUUUUUUUUUUGUUUUUUUUUUAGUUUUUUGUUAUAUAUAUAUAUUAAGGGUGUUUUUUUCAGAUAUACUUUUCUUUCUGUUUUUUUUUUUGUUUUGUUUAUACUAUUCUUUCUCCUUUUUUAGUUUUCUUUAGUUUUUUCUGCCUGUUCCCAGUUUUUCUUUUUUUUUUUUUUAGUUCUUUUUUUAUAUAUAUAUUUAGGGUGUUUUUUUCAGAAAUACUUUUCCUUCUGUUUUUUUUAUUUUGUUUAUACUAUCCAUUCUCCUUUUUUAGUUUACUUUAGUUUUUUCUGCCUGUUUAAAGUUUUUUUUUAGUUUUUUUUUUUAGUUUUUUGUUAUAUAUAUAUAUAUUAAUAUAUAUAUUUAGGGUGUUUUUUUCAGAUAUACUUUUCUUUCUGUUUUUUUAUUUUGUUUAUACUAUCCUUUCUCUUUUUUAGUUUUCUUUAGUUUUCUUUCUGCCUGUAUUAAGUUUGUUUUUUUUAGUUUUUUGUUAUUGAUAUAUAUAUUUAUAGGUUGUUCUUUUCUGAAAUACUUUUCCUUCUGUUUUUUUAUUUUGUUUAUAUUAUCCUUUCUCCUUUUUUAGGUUUUCUGUAGUUUUUUUCUGCCUGUUCUAAGUUUUUUUUUAGAAAAACUAUUCUUUUUUUUUUAGUUUUUUUUUAGUUUUUUUUAGAAAUACUAAUGUUCUUCUGUUUAUUAGUUUUCUUUAGUUUUUUUGUUUGUUUUUUUGUGUUUUUGUUAUUUAUAUAUAUUUAGGGUGUUCUUUUCUUAAAUACCUUUGCUUCUGUUUUUUUUUUUUUUGUUGUUUAUACUAUCCUUUCUCUUUUUUAGUUUUCUUUCUGCCUGUUUUAAGUUUUAUUUUCAGUUUUUUGUUUUUCUAUAUAUUAGGGUGUUUUUUUCUAAAAUACUUUUCCUUCUGUUUUUUUUAUUUUGUUUAUACUAUCCUUUCUCUUUUUUUAGUUUUCUUUAGUUUUUUUUCUGCCUGUUUUAAGUUUGUUUUUUUAGUUUUUUUUUUAGUUUUUUUGUUAUAUAUAUAUAUAUAGGUUGUUCUUUUCUGAAAUACUUUUCCUCCUUUUUUUAUUUUGUUUAUACUAUCCGUUCUCUUUUUUAGUUUUCUUUCUGCCUGUUUUAAGUUUUUUUUUUGUCUUUUUUGUUAUAUAUAUAUAUAUAAAGUGUUUUUUUAUCAGAUAUACUUUUCUUUCUGUUUUUUUAUUUUGUUUAUAUUAUCCUUUCUCCUUUUUUAGUUUUCUGUAGUUUUUUUCUGCCUGUUCUAAGUUUUUUUUUAGUUUUCUUUAGUUUUUUUUUUGCCUGUUUUAAGUUUUUUUUUGUUUGUUUUUUUAGUUUUUUGUUAUUGAUAUAUAUAUAUAGGUUGUUCUUUUCUGAAAUACUUUUCCUUCUGUUUUUUUAUUUUGUUUAUACUAUCCUUUCUCUUUUUUAGUUUUCUUUAGUUU
rnacentral:lncRNA from 1 species